GUGGGGAAUAUUGGACAAUGGGCGAAAGCCUGAUCCAGCCAUGCCGCGUGUGUGAAGAAGGUCUUCGGAUUGUAAAGCACUUUAAGUUGGGAGGAAGGGCAGUAAGUUAAUACCUUGCUGUUUUGACGUUACCGACAGAAUAAGCACCGGCUAACUUCGUGCCAGCAGCCGCGGUAAUACGAAGGGUGCAAGCGUUAAUCGGAAUUACUGGGCGUAAAGCGCGCGUAGGUGGUUUUGUAAGUUGGAGGUGAAAUCCCCGGGCUCAACCUGGGAACUGCCUCCAAAACUGCAUGACUAGAGUACGGUAGAGGGUAGUGGAAUUUCCUGUGUAGCGGUGAAAUGCGUAGAUAUAGGAAGGAACACCAGUGGCGAAGGCGACUACCUGGACUGAUACUGACACUGAGGUGCGAAAGCGUGGGGAGCAAACAUGAUUAGAAACCCCGGUAGUCC
rnacentral:rRNA from 1 species